rnacentral:rRNA from 1 species
AUUGAACGCUGGCGGCAGGCCUAACACAUGCAAGUCGAACGAGUGGCGGACGGGUGAGUAAUGUCUGGGAAACUGCCUGAUGGAGGGGGAUAACUAAUGGAAACGGUAGCUAAUACCGCAUACCAUCGGAUGUGCCCAGAUGGGAUUCGCGAGUAGGUGGGGUAAAGGCUCACCUAGGCGACGCUCCCUAGCUGGUCUGAGAGGAUGACCAGCCACACUGGAACUGAGACAGUGUCCAGAUUCCUACGGGAGUCAGCAGUGGGGAAUAGUGCACAAUGGGCGCAAUCCUGAUGGAGCCAUGCCGCGUGUAUGAAGAAGGCCUUCGGGUUGUAAAGUACUUUCAGCUGGGAGGCGUUACCCGCAGAAGAAGCACCGGCUAACUCCGUGCCAGCAGCCGCGGUAAUUC